rnacentral:lncRNA from 1 species
AGGAAUGUCUCAGGGAAGUUUUGGAAUUUUUGGACUAGGUCUGAACCAUGUUCGGAUUGUAGGUCUAGUGGCUCACCGUGAUCGCACCGCAUCGUGGUGAAGUGCAAAAUCACGCUCGUCCUUUUUCCAGUGAAGCACCGUGAUGGCGCCGCUUCACGGCAAGGUGCAAAAUUACACUCAUCCAUUUCUAGUGGCUCAAUGCGAUAAGCUUGCGUCGCGCCAAG